rnacentral:rRNA from 1 species
UACAGAGGUCUCAAGCGUUGUCCGGAAUCAUUGGGCGUAAAGAGCGUGUAGGCGGCCCGGUAAGUCCGCUGUGAAAGUCCAGGGCUCAACCCUGGGAUGCCGGUCGAUACUGCCGGACUAGAGUUCGGAAGAGGCGAGUGGAAUUCCCGGUGUAGCGGUGAAAUGCGCAGAUAUCGGGAGGAACACCAAUGGCGAAGGCGGCUCACUGGACCGGUACUGACGCUGAGGCGCGAAAGCGUGGGUAGCAAACAGG